UUAGGAUAUUAAUAUUAAGGGUUGGGCCUGCCCGGUGAGAUUUUAACGGCCGCAGUUAGAAGCUGUGCUAAGGUAGCGUAGUAAGUUGUCCUUUAAAUGGGGAAAGGAAUGAAUGGUUUGACGUGGGGGAAUCUGUCUCAAGUAAAAAAAGUGAAAUUUUCUUUCUAGUGAAAAGCCUGGAAUAGAAUUAAAAGACGAGAAGACCCUAUUGAGCUUGAAUAAUUGUGUUAUUAGUAAUAUGAGAAAAUUUGGUUGGGGCAACUCAGGAGCAAAAAUAGACUCCUUGGUGUUUUUAAGGAUCCAAAAUUUUUGAAAAAAGAAAAAGCUACCGUAGGGAUAACAGCGUUAUCUUUUCUGAGAGAACAUAUUGAAGAAAAGGUUUGCGACCUCGAUGUUGAAUUAAAGUUUCCGUUAGGCGUAGAAGCUUAAAUGGUAAGACUGUUCGUCUUUUAAAGCU
rnacentral:rRNA from 1 species